rnacentral:rRNA from 1 species
AGCUUGCUCCUUUGACGUUAGCGGCGGACGGGUGAGUAACACGUGGGUAACCUACCUAUAAGACUGGGAUAACUUCGGGAAACCGGAGCUAAUACCGGAUAACAUUUGGAACCGCAUGGUUCUAAAGUGAAAGAUGGUUUUGCUAUCACUUAUAGAUGGACCCGCGCCGUAUUAGCUAGUUGGUAAGGUAACGGCUUACCAAGGCGACGAUACGUAGCCGACCUGAGAGGGUGAUCGGCCACACUGGAACUGAGACACGGUCCAGACUCCUACGGGAGGCAGCAGUAGGGAAUCUUCCGCAAUGGGCGAAAGCCUGACGGAGCAACGCCGCGUGAGUGAUGAAGGGUUUCGGCUCGUAAAACUCUGUUAUUAGGGAAGAACAAAUGUGUAAGUAACUGUGCACGUCUUGACGGUACCUAAUCAGAAAGCCACGGCUAACUACGUGCCAGCAGCCGCGGUAAUACGUAGGUGGCAAGCGUUAUCCGGAAUUAUUGGGCGUAAAGCGCGCGUAGGCGGUUUCUUAAGUCUGAUGUGAAAGCCCACGGCUCAACCGUGGAGGGUCAUUGGAAACUGGGAAACUUGAGUGCAGAAGAGGAAAGUGGAAUUCCAUGUGUAGCGGUGAAAUGCGCAGAGAUAUGGAGGAACACCAGUGGCGAAGGCGACUUUCUGGUCUGUAACUGACGCUGAUGUGCGAAAGCGUGGGGAUCAAACAGGAUUAGAUACCCUGGUAGUCCACGCCGUAAACGAUGAGUGCUAAGUGUUAGGGGGUUUCCGCCCCUUAGUGCUGCAGCUAACGCAUUAAGCACUCCGCCUGGGGAGUACGACCGCAAGGUUGAAACUCAAAGGAAUUGACGGGGACCCGCACAAGCGGUGGAGCAUGUGGUUUAAUUCGAAGCAACGCGAAGAACCUUACCAAAUCUUGACAUCCUUUGAAAACUCUAGAGAUAGAGCCUUCCCCUUCGGGGGACAAAGUGACAGGUGGUGCAUGGUUGUCGUCAGCUCGUGUCGUGAGAUGUUGGGUUAAGUCCCGCAACGAGCGCAACCCUUAAGCUUAGUUGCCAUCAUUAAGUUGGGCACUCUAGGUUGACUGCCGGUGACAAACCGGAGGAAGGUGGGGAUGACGUCAAAUCAUCAUGCCCCUUAUGAUUUGGGCUACACACGUGCUACAAUGGACAAUACAAAGGGCAGCUAAACCGCGAGGUCAUGCAAAUCCCAUAAAGUUGUUCUCAGUUCGGAUUGUAGUCUGCAACUCGACUACAUGAAGCUGGAAUCGCUAGUAAUCGUAGAUCAGCAUGCUACGGUGAAUACGUUCCCGGGUCUUGUACACACCGCCCGUCACACCACGAGAGUUUUAACACCCGAAGCCGG